rnacentral:rRNA from 1 species
AUUGAACGCUGGCGGCAUGCCUUACACAUGCAAGUCGAACGGCAGCGGACCUUCGGGUGCCGGCGAGUGGCGAACGGGUGAGUAAAGUAUCGGAACGUACCUUUCAGUGGGGGAUAACGUAGCGAAAGUUACGCUAAUACCGCAUAUUCUGUGAGCAGGAAAGCAGGGGAUCGCAAGACCUUGCGCUGAUUGAGCGGCCGAUAUCAGAUUAGCUAGUUGGUGAGGUAAAGGCUCACCAAGGCGACGAUCUGUAGCGGGUCUGAGAGGAUGAUCCGCCACACUGGAACUGAGACACGGUCCAGACUCCUACGGGAGGCAGCAGUGGGGAAUUUUGGACAAUGGGGGCAACCCUGAUCCAGCCAUGCCGCGUGAGUAAAGAAGGCCUUCG